AAGAGACAGCAGCAGCCGCGGUAAUACGUAGGGUGCAAGCGUUAAUCGGAAUUACUGGGCGUAAAGCGCACGUAGGCGGAUAUUUAAGUCAGGGGUGAAAUCCCAGAGCUCAACUCUGGAACUGCCUUUGAUACUGGGUAUCUUGAGUAUGGAAGAGGUGAGUGGAAUUCCGAGUGUAGAGGUGAAAUUCGUAGAUAUUCGGAGGAACACCAGUGGCGAAGGCGGCUCACUGGUCCAUUACUGACGCUGAGGUGCGAAAGCGUGGGGAGCAAACAGGAUUAGAUACCCGUGUAGUCCCUGUCUCUUAUAC
rnacentral:rRNA from 1 species